rnacentral:rRNA from 1 species
GGGGUAUUCAGUUAUUCUACUACUCCUUUGGUCGUUUACUGUGAGAAAAUUAGAGUGUUCAAAGCGGGCGUUUGUUUGAAUAGAUUAGCAUGGAAUAAUGAUUGAAGGCUUUCGUGUUCGAUUUGAUUGGUUUGUUCAUGGAAGCAAGGUUAAAAGGAACAGUUGGGGGUAUUCAUAUUCACUAGUUAGAGGUGAAAUUCUCGGAUUUAUGGAAGAUGAACAGGUGCGAAAGCAUUUACCAAGGAUGUUUUCAUUAAUCAAGAACGAAAGCUAGGGGAUCGAAGAGGAUUAGAUACCCUCGUAGUCUUAGCUAUAAACGAUACCG